ACGGCCUCGCUCGGCCCGGAGCGAAGAGGUGACCCGGAGCGAAGAGGUGACCCGGAGCGAAGAGGGGUCCCGGAGCGAAGAGGCGGUCGGAAGCGAAGAGGUGGCCCUAAGUGAAGAGGUGGCCCGGAGCGAGGAAAUGGCGGCAGCCGGGCUCAGCGUAACUGUCACCCACAGCAAUGAGAAGCACGAUCUUCAAGUUAUCCCGCAAGAAGGCUGUAGUGAACCAAUUGUCCAAGACCUGGCCCAGGUUGUUGAAGAGGCCACAGGGGUCCCGCUGCCUUUUCAGAAACUCAUAUUUAAGGGAAAAUCUCUGAAAGAAAUGGAGACGCCAUUGUCAGCACUUGGAAUACAAAAUGGUUGCCGGGUCAUGUUAAUUGGGAAAAAGAACAGUCCAGAGGAAGAAGUUGAAAUAAAGAAGUUGAAAGAUUUGGAGAAGUCUGUGGAGAAGAUAGCUGACCAACUGGAAGAGUUGAGUAAAGAGCUUACUGGAAUCCAGCAGGGUUUUCUGGCCAAGGAUUUGCAAGCUGAAGCUCUCUGCAAACUCGACAGGAGAGUAAUAGCCACAGUCGGGCAGUUUAUGAAGAUCUUGGAAGAGACUGACACACUAGUUCUGCCAGAAAAUUUCAAAGACAGUCGAAUGAAAAGGAAGGGUUUGGUGAAAAAGAUUCAGGCAUUCCUAGCUGCAUGUGAUACAGUGGAGCAGAGCAUCUGCCAGGAGAUGGAGCGACUGCAGGCCACUAACUUGGCCUUGGCUGACUGAGGCGACUCCUGUUCAUGCUUCAGAACGUAAACGUCUCUUCAUGGAGAAACCUCACCUACUACUGUCUGAGAACAUCAAGCCUCCAGGAUCACAGCAGACAAGGAUGAGGCCACCUCCUCAGGAACCGUAAUGUACCCUUCAGGAACCCUGGCCCAGUCCAGACCCCCUGCUGAGCUCUGCCCACCCACCCAGUGUACAGUGCGGGGGAGGUCCCAGGGCUCCCUGGGCAUAUCCUUCUACAGCUUUUCCCUCUGUACACCCUCCCCUGGGGCGGUUUCAGCUUCCUGGGCUUUCAACCACCUCUGCAUGCUGUUGGCCACAAAUCUGUCUCUGGCCUGGACCUCUGUCUUAGACUCCAGGCCUGUUCAUGUGAUUGUCCAUUGUACAUCGCCGCUGGGUUGUCCCAGAGGCUCCACUGUCCACGAACAUCAUCACCUCACAAACCUGCCACGCACACCCUGCCCCCUGCCACAUGACACCACCAGCCACCCAAGCCUACAAGUUAGAAACCAGCAUGUUGCUCUUGCUUCCUUCCUGCCUGUCAACCCCUCACAUCCAAUCUCACAGCUUGUCGAUUCUACUCCCAAUGUAACCAUGAGCCUUUAAUUAUCAUGAUUGUUUUCCAAGUUAGGACACUGUCCAUCUGUCUAGAGUAUUGCAGCUUCCAAAGACUUUCUUCUCUUCUGUGUUCUCACUUAGCUCUGGCCGGCUCAAGGUCUUAUGAAUGAAGAAAUGAGACCAAAUAGGAGAUCCGAUGUACCAAGGUCAUGUUCCAGCCCUGCUUGCUCUAGACUCAUUUCUUGCCUCUCCCCCAUUCUCCUUUAAAUGAGAAUGUCCUCCACCAUACCCACCUUCUUAUAUUUCCUCAAAUAUAAACUUUCUUUCCCUUCUAGAUCUUUCCAAACUCAUUUCUCUACUUGGAAUUACCUUCCCUUGUUUCUUCUUUUUCCUACCUAGUUUCUACUUAUCCCUCAGGGCUGAGCUGAGGUGUCGCCUCCCCUGGGAAGUCUUCCCUGCCUUGUCCUUGCCUGGUACCCACAGUACCCUGUGCGCCCCCAUCUGGGCCUUUAGCAUUCUGUGCUGCUGUUGGCUGACCUUCAGCUUGGCUUCCCCCUUAGACUGACUGUUUGCCCCAGGAGCCGGUAAUGCUGUCUAGCUUAUUAUGCCCUGUUGUAUCCCCAGUGCCCGGCACACAGUAGGUGUUCAAUAAAUAAUUGUUGACUGGA